UCUUGGGCUUAGUUGGUUGUGGAGCACAUGAAAACUUCACAGUUAAGCAUGCUCAGGUAGGAGUAGUACUAGGAUAGGUGACCUCUUAGGAAAUUUUUACCGGGGCAACAA
rnacentral:rRNA from 1 species